rnacentral:rRNA from 3 species
CCCAGACAGCCAGGAUGUUGGCUUAGAAGCAGCCAUCAUUUAAAGAAAGCGUAAUAGCUCACUGGUCGAGUCGGCCUGCGCGGAAGAUGUAACGGGGCUAAACCAUGCACCGAAGCUGCGGCAGCGACGCUGAUGCGUUGUUGGGUAGGGGAGCGUUCUGUAAGCCUGCGAAGGUGACCUGUGAGGGUUGCUGGAGGUAUCAGAAGUGCGAAUGCUGACAUAAGUAACGAUAAAGCGGGUGAAAAGCCCGCUCGCCGGAAGACCAAGGGUUCCUGUCCAACGUUAAUCGGGGCAGGGUGAGUCGACCCCUAAGGCGAGGCCGAAAGGCGUAGUCGAUGGGAAACGGGUUAAUAUUCCCGUACUUGGUGUUACUGCGAAGGGGGGACGGAGAAGGCUAUGUUGGCCGGGCGACGGUUGUCCCGGUUUAAGCGUGUAGGUGUGUGUUCCAGGUAAAUCCGGUUCACUUUAACACUGAGGCGUGACGACGAGGCACUACGGUGCUGAAGCAACAAAUGCCCUGCUUCCAGGAAAAGCCUCUAAGCAUCAGGUAACACGAAAUCGUACCCCAAACCGACACAGGUGGUCAGGUAGAGAAUACCAAGGCGCUUGAGAGAACUCGGGUGAAGGAACUAGGCAAAAUGGUGCCGUAACUUCGGGAGAAGGCACGCUGACACGUAGGUGAAGUGAUUUACUCAUGGAGCUGAAGUCAGUCGAAGAUACCAGCUGGCUGCAACUGUUUAUUAAAAACACAGCACUGUGCAAACACGAAAGUGGACGUAUACGGUGUGACGCCUGCCCGGUGCCGGAAGGUUAAUUGAUGGGGUCAGCGUAAGCGAAGCUCCUGAUCGAAGCCCCGGUAAACGGCGGCCGUAACUAUAACGGUCCUAAGGUAGCGAAAUUCCUUGUCGGGUAAGUUCCGACCUGCACGAAUGGCGUAAUGAUGGCCAGGCUGUCUCC